rnacentral:rRNA from 1 species
CUUGUAGGCGGUUUGUCGCGUCUGCUGUGAAGAUCCGAGGCUCAACCUCGGACUUGCAGUGGGUACGGGCAGACUAGAGUGUGGUAGGGGAGACUGGAAUUCCUGGUGUAGCGGUGAAAUGCGCAGAUAUCAGGAGGAACACCGAUGGCGAAGGCAGGUCUCUGGGCCACUACUGACGCUGAGAAGCGAAAGCAUGGGGAGCGAACA